rnacentral:rRNA from 1 species
ACUCAAAUGAAUUGACGGGGACCCGCACAACCGGUGGAGCGUGUGGUUCAAUUCGAGACAAAGCGAAAAACCUUACCAGGGCUUGACAUGCAAUCGUUUUAUACCUUUGGAAACUUAGGUAGAUCCGCAAGGAUGAUUGUGCAGGUGCUGCAUGGCUGUCGUCAGCUCGUGCCGUGAGGUGUUCCCUUAAGUGGGGAAACGAGCGCAACCCCCGUCCAAUGUUAAAUCUUCAUUGGAGACGGUCCCGAUUAUCUCGGGAAGGAAGGAGGGGAAGACGUCAAGUCAGCACGGCCCUUAUGCCCUGGGUUACACACACCCUACAAUGGCGAAAAACAACGAGUUGCAAGCGCGCGAGUGCAAGCUAAUCUCUCAAAUUUCGCCUCAGUUCAGAUUGGAGUCUGCAACCCGACUCCAUGAAGUCGGAAUCGGUAGUAAUCGCGAAUCAGCAGGUCGCGGUGAAUACGUUCUCGGGUCUUGUACACACCGCCCGU